UAAAACAUCCAAAACAGAUAAUAUAAUAGCAUGGAACAAUAAAAAAUUAUAGAUACGUUAAAGACGCAUCACGCAUCCCAAUCUUAAUUUCUACUCGUCCUCAAGUAGAUCUCUACUGUUAAAGGAGAACAUGCGGUUGUCGUGAUGGUUCCACCCCGUUCGAUCCAACGUACCAUCCCUGUGUCCCGCGCGACUCACCCAGCCUCCAAUCCCCGCUCGGAAUUAAAAACGAAAAAAGAAAAUCGGAAAGAAAAUAAUAACUACUCCCCACGAUCACACGUUCCAUGCCCUCGUCUCCCGCAACACCUUCCUGUGCACAUCCUCUCCCUGGAAAAAUUGCCGUGGCACCCACCCUCCUGUGCACGUCAUCUUCGCCAUCCCAGAUCGCGAUCCGCCGCCAGGGCUUUGCGUGGCCACUCGCCGCCCCAGAUCUCGAUCAGCCGCCAGGAGCCUUGCGUGGCCAACCCAUGCCUCCCACCAUCGUUGCCCUCCUCGUUCACAUCAUGGUUGUGGUGGCUGCGGUCCUGGUUGUACACGACGCCGCCCCACCCCAACUCUCUUUUGCUCGAUGAACCUCCAUCCGACGUCUGACACUCUUCUCCCGCUCCUAACGCAACCAUCGUCUUCAUUGUGGUGGCGCCGCCCUUCUAGAGCAGUUAAACAGUAGAGCAAGCGGGUGUGCGGGCAGGAGCUGGAGGCCGCACUGCUGUGCGUGCGAGCAGGAGGCACGCGAGGCUUGUGUAGGCAGGUGGCUAUGGGGAACGGCCCAUUCAAUUGCCGCCCUCUGCUGUCGACGUUCUCAUCUUCAAGUCCCACCCCUACCACCGUCGUACUCCCUGCAGGCAGCUCGGCCCCGAUCUCCUCCGCAAGGUGGCUCUGUGCGUGACAUCUAUCUCGCUCCCAAUGCCUUCGUUGUGUUAUUUAUUUUCCAGAUAAUGUUCAGAUAUUUAACAGGCGGAGAGUGUACUGCUGUGCCAAAACUUUCAGUUACUCUGCAGAAUGUUUGAGCUAUUGUCUAAUUGUGGAUUGUGCAGAUCCUCUCACCCACUUAAAUCCUUUUUCUGAUGAAUUGUAUUGGUUAUGCUGAAUCAUCCUGUUACAAGGGCAUAACCAAGUGGGUAAGAUCAAGCACGAACAACUUUUGUGCUCUGCGAGGUUUGCAAAUUGAACCCCGAUAUUGUGGCUUAUCCAAUAGCGCGAGUGGUUUUUUGCUAUGUAGAUUAAAACUAAAACUUGUUCAAGUGUGAAUUAAUGUAUUGAUCUCAAUUUUAUUAUUCCAGAUCUGUAGAUGCACACGAGUUGAUAUUACUAUUCCAUAACACAAGAGCUGAGAUUUCAGACAAUACGAACAGUAUGCUUCAGUACUGGAAGCAAGGGAAGUAUCUUUGGGGGGAACUCGUGUGGCUUGAAACUUGGUUGAAACACUAAAUUUGGGCCCUUACAUAUAUAGGUACAGUGAUAUGCUGCAAUGUUUAGGAAAUGUGCAUGUUGAUUAUAUGAGGUUUUGCGAUUAUGGUCUUAUAGGCUAUAGGCCAUGGAUUUUUAAUUCUCCUUGCAUGUCAAGGAUAAGACAAUGGUCUUGGUCUCGUCUUGGUUAUAUAAAAAUAAAAUAUAGGUGAAGCUUCAAAAAACUGGAGCAUACACAUACAUUUAGAAGUUGUGCUCAAAGACUUUGCUUUAUCUAGAGGAAUGUACAGUCUAUACUUGCACAAUAUUUUCUUCCAUUUUCCUUUACUGAAUUUACAAUUCACAUAAAAUUAAACUAUUAAGCAACUAUUCCCACCUUACUGUAGAUUUCCAAAAGUUGGUAUAUGCUUUUAGAAAUUUACAUAUGUUCUUACUGGCUAAUUAGAGUGCAUCAGAUGUAAUUUUUCAGUAGAUAUCACAAUUUUUAAAGAAUGGUGGGGCGCAUGACUACAACAGGCAGGAGAUCCUGCAGGGCACACAUCAACAUUUCAGGGACACCAAGGUCGUGCCGGUCGUGUUGGACAUUGACAUGAUGUUCUUGCCCUACUACACUCCAUUCAGCAGCAUGGCUACAAUUGUAGGUGGAUACAGCAAGGUUAGUAUGGCUACAAAGAUGCACUAGAGAAAUGGCCAGGCAAGCUCGCGGGGUCGAGCGUGGGAAGGCAGCCGGGGAACGGCUAUGGUUGAUUUCAAUUAGAGGUUCAGGGCGUGGGGGGCAUGGUAAAAUUCCUCCCUUCUUUUGAAAAUUCUAGGAGACAGGUCCUCUCUUUUCAGGUUUCUGAAAGUGUCAAUGCUCCUGCUUGUGUUAACAGAUUGUUUUCUUGGAGGGGAAAGCAACUCUGUUUGAAAUGAACUUGUAAGUUGUGGAGUUUCAGUGCAAUUUUCUUAUUUUGUUUUAUUUUUUAGUUGUAGUCAGCCAGAUGUAAUAUUGCAAUUCCCUUUUUAUAAUGUUGAAAUAAAGCCAUAUUUCAUAUAAA